rnacentral:rRNA from 1 species
UGCAUGCAAGUCGAGCGAAGCUUUUCAGUAGUUUACUACAGAAAAUGACUGAGCGGCGAACGGGUGAGUAACGCGUGAGCAACCUACCUUAGUUACUGGGAUAGCCCGAGGAAACUCGGAUUAAUACCGGAUAUUCUUAUUUAAUCACAUGAUUUUUUAAGGAAAGGUCAGCCGAACUAAGAUGGGCUCGCGUUCUAUCAGCUAGUUGGUAGGGUAAUGGCCUACCAAGGCUACGACGGAUAGCUGGUCUGAGAGGACGAUCAGCCACACUGGGACUGAGACACGGCCCAGACUCCUACGGGAGGCUGCAGCAGGGAAUAUUGCGCAAUGAGCGAAAGCUUGACGCAGCGACACCGCGUGUGGGAUGACGGAUCUAGGUUUGUAAACCACUUUCAGGAGGGAAGAAAAUGACGGUACCUCCACAAGAAGCCCCGGCCAACUACGUGCCAGCAGCCGCGGUAAUACGUAGGGGGCGAGCGUUGUCCGGAUUUAUUGGGCGUAAAGAGCUCGUAGGCGGUUCAACAAGUCGGUCGUGAAAGUUCAGGGCUCAACCCUGAAAUGUCGAUCGAUACUGUUGUGACUAGGAUACGGUAGAGGUGAGUGGAAUUCCGAGUGUAGCGGUGAAAUGCGUAGAUAUUCGGAGGAACACCAAUUGCGAAGGCAGCUCACUGGCCCGCUAUCGACGCUGAGGAGCGAAAGCUAGGGGAGCAAACAGGAUUAGAUACCCUGG